rnacentral:rRNA from 1 species
UACGGAGGGAGCUAGCGUUGUUCGGAUUUACUGGGCGUAAAGCGCACGUAGGCGGCCAACUAAGUCAGACGUGAAAUCCCUAGGCUCAACCUAGGAACUGCGUCUGAUACUGGAUGGCUUGAAUCCGGGAGAGGGAUGCAGAAUUCCAGGUGUAGCGGUGAAAUGCGUAGAUAUCUGGAGGAAUACCGGUGGCGAAGGCGGCAUCCUGGACCGGCAUUGACGCUGAGGAGCGAAAGCCAGGGGAGCAAACGGG